rnacentral:rRNA from 1 species
GAUGAACGCUGGCGGCGUGCCUAAUACAUGCAAGUCGAGCGAACAGACGAGGAGCUUGCUCCUCUGACGUUAGCGGCGGACGGGUGAGUAACACGUGGAUAACCUACCUAUAAGACUGGGAUAACUUCGGGAAACCGGAGCUAAUACCGGAUAAUAUAUUGAACCGCAGGGUUCAAUAGUAAAAGAGGGUUUUGCUGUCACUUAUAGAUGGAUCCGCGCCGAUUUAGCAGUUUGUAAGGGAAAGGGUUAACCAAGGGAAGGUUGGGAACCGCACCGAGAGGGGGGUGCGCCACACUGGAACCGAGACACCGUCCAGACUCCUACGGGAGGGAGCAGUAGGGAAUCUUCCGCCAUGGGCGAAAGCCUGACGGAGCAACGCCGCGUGAGUGAUGAAGGUCUUCGGAUCGUAAAACUCUGUUAUUAGGGAAGAACAAAUGUGUAAGUAACUAUGCACGUCUUGACGGUACCUAAUCAGAAAGCCACGGCUAACUACGUG